GGGAAGGAUUGGGGGGAAUUGUAAAUUAUUCCACUUCAGUAUCCUACUUUCAAUCCCUUUAAAAAAAAGAAUUACAUUUAGUCCACAUAAUGGGGAAAACUGAGAGAUUUAAAUAAAGGAUCAACAUCCAAACUUACAAUAUCAAAAACUUAAUCCAUGAAUUUAUCUAGAGGCCACAAUGAGUGAAAUUAUGAAAUGACAGCCACAGCUUCACUCAACAUGAAGCAACUCAGAAAAUUAUUAUUAUUGUGUCACUGUUAUUUUAGAUCUCCAAACUUGGCUUAGAUAGAUUCUGGGGUAAUUUUAUUUUCCUGUAAGAUGUGCAUUCACUUAGUCCUUUUCCACUAGAAUCUUUUUCCUUUUGGCUAAUUGUACGUCUAAUUAGCAGUUCUUCAAAAGAUAAUGCAAAGGCCUAAUAAAACGUUAUCUUGUUUUGCUUAGAGGACGGUAUCUUUUACUCUAAUUAUUUGCUUGUUUUCCCUCUCUAAUAAAUUCUGUGUUAUCCACUGAAAGAACCAAAGAGAAAAUUAUUUUUUGGCAAAUGGGAAGAAAUAAUUUGUAAAAGAAACUAAACAACAUAGAAAAAUGGGUAUUGUUCUCUACCAGAAUAAUCCAUGAAAUUGCAUAUGCGAGUGAGGAAAUGUUCUAAAAAAUACUGUUAAUGCAACAUGUCACAAGUAUUAAUUUAAUUAAUUUUAGAAAAAAAGACUCCUAAAUGUUAGAAAAAAUAAUGAAAAAGAUGUGAUUCAGUUGCAAACUAAUUGAAACAAAUCAAAGCUAAUCAAACAAACAACUAGAAACGAUAAAGAAAGAAAAAGAAUCACAAAAGAAUCCAUAUUGAACCAAGAUUAAAGAAAGAAGAAAAAGAAAAUAUUAAAACUGUAUUUCCAGUAAUCAAAGAUAUACCCAAGAGGAUAAACAUUUCC
rnacentral:misc_RNA from 1 species